CCAAAGAUCAGUUCUCACCAAACUGGAAACACUAAUUAAUAAGCAAGAAGAAGCGUUGUCAAUAUUGCGUGCUCUGUCAAUAUUGCGUGCGCUAAGAAAGGUGUAGACGAGCACGAAAUUUUGGAAAAUGUUGUACCUAAUCCCUUACAUUCGGUUGAAGAACUCGAGCACCUAUCAUCUAAUCUUAAUGAAGAAAAUUCCAGAAGAAAGUUGCUGCAGUUUUUGGUAGCACUUUUCGCAAACACCUGUGCAAACAGUGUUAGAAGAAUUAUGACAAAGCUGGGAACAAAUUAUCUAUGGUUCCAAUAUAGUUGAAAAGGCAGAAAGUCAAAGGGACCAUUUCAGCACCUUGCUCUCUGCAAACUUAUAACAAAAGCCUGCCUCAGAGCUAUUAAAGGGUGCAGCGAGGCCAACGUUGAAGAGCAAAUUGCCGAAUUUUUAAAAUAUGCUCCAGGCAAGCAAGGUGGUUCCAGAUUUAAGGUCCGAAAAGGCAACUUAUUGGAAUCGAUUUAUAUAGCAUUUUUGUAAAUAUGUAUAUUAAAACACGCACAGCAAAAUUGAUGAGUUAAAAGUUGAUUAUAUGGAAACUAAACUUUAGCUCUUAUCA